GGUAGCUUGGCCGAGGGGUUAAGGCGCCAGAUUUAAGAAAAUACCUCGCUAAACUGUUCGCUCAGGGCUUGGUACCUCUUCGAAUCUCUGGUCUCGAAAGAGUCGUGCGUUCGAAUCGCACAGCUACCA
rnacentral:tRNA from 1 species